GACGAACGCUGGCGGCGUGCCUAAUACAUGCAAGUAGAACGCUGAAGCUUGGUGCUUGCACCGAGCGGAUGAGUUGCGAACGGGUGAGUAACGCGUAGGUAACCUGCCUGGUAGCGGGGGAUAACUAUUGGAAACGAUAGCUAAUACCGCAUAAGAGUAGAUGUUGCAUGACAUUUGCUUAAAAGGUGCAAUUGCAUCACUACCAGAUGGACCCGCGUUGUAUUAGCUAGUUGGUGAGGUAACGGCUCACCAAGGCAACGAUACAUAGCCGACCUGAGAGGGUGAUCGGCCACACUGGGACUGAGACACGGCCCAGACUCCUACGGGAGGCAGCAGUAGGGAAUCUUCGGCAAUGGACGGAAGUCUGACCGAGCAACGCCGCGUGAGUGAAGAAGGUUUUCGGAUCGUAAAGCUCGGUUGUAAGAGAAGAACGAGUGUGAGAGUGGAAAGUUCACACUGUGACGGUAUCUUACCAGAAAGGGACGGCUAACUACGUG
rnacentral:rRNA from 1 species